rnacentral:rRNA from 1 species
AUUGAACGCUGGCGGCAGGCCUAACACAUGCAAGUCGAGCGGUAGAGAGAAGCUUGCUUCUCUUGAGAGCGGCGGACGGGUGAGUAAUGCCUAGGAAUCUGCCUGGUAGUGAGGGAUAACGUUCGGAAACGGACGCUAAUACCGCAUACGUCCUACGGGAGAAAGCAGGGGACCUUCGGGCCUUGCGCUAUCAGAUGAGCCUAGGUCGGAUUAGCUAGUUGGUGGGGUAAUGGCUCACCAAGGCGACGAUCCGUAACUGGUCUGAGAGGAUGAUCAGUCACACUGGAACUGAGACACGGUCCAGACUCCUACGGGAGGCAGCAGUGGGGAAUAUUGGACAAUGGGCGAAAGCCUGAUCCAGCCAUGCCGCGUGUGUGAAGAAGGUCUUCGGAUUGUAAAGCACUUUAAGUUGGGAGGAAGGGCAGUAAAUUAAUACUUUGCUGUUUUGACGUUACCGACAGAAUAAGCACCGGCUAACUCUGUG